rnacentral:rRNA from 1 species
AUUGAACGCUGGCGGCAUGCCUUACACAUGCAAGUCGAACGGCAGCGCGGGAGCAAUCCUGGCGGCGAGUGGCGAACGGGUGAGUAAUAUAUCGGAACGUGCCCAGUAGUGGGGGAUAGCCCGGCGAAAGCCGGAUUAAUACCGCAUACGACCUACGGGUGAAAGGGGGGGAUCGCAAGACCUCUCGCUAUUGGAGCGGCCGAUAUCAGAUUAGGUAGUUGGUGGGGUAAAAGCCUACCAAGCCUGCGAUCUGUAGUUGGUCUGAGAGGACGACCAGCCACACUGGGACUGAGACACGGCCCAGACUCCUACGGGAGGCAGCAGUGGGGAAUUUUGGACAAUGGGGGCAACCCUGAUCCAGCAAUGCCGCGUGCAGGAAGAAGGCCUUCGGGUUGUAAACUGCUUUUGUCAGGGAAGAAAUCCCUUGGGUUAAUACCUCGGGGGGAUGACGGUACCUGAAGGAUAAGCACCGGCUAACUACGUGCCAGCAGCCGCCGUAA